rnacentral:rRNA from 1 species
AUUGAACGCUGGCGGCAUGCCUUACACAUGCAAGUCGAACGGUAACAGGUCUUCGGAUGCUGACGAGUGGCGAACGGGUGAGUAAUACAUCGGAACGUGCCUAGUAGUGGGGGAUAACUACUCGAAAGAGUGGCUAAUACCGCAUGAGAUCUACGGAUGAAAGCAGGGGAUCGCAAGACCUUGUGCUACUAGAGCGGCCGAUGGCAGAUUAGGUAGUUGGUGGGAUAAAAGCUUACCAAGCCGACGAUCUGUAGCUGGUCUGAGAGGACGAUCAGCCAGACUGGGACUGAGACACGGCCCAGACUCCUACGGGAGGCAGCAGUGGGGAAUUUUGGACAAUGGGCGCAAGCCUGAUCCAGCAAUGCCGCGUGCAGGAUGAAGGCCUUCGGGUUGUAAACUGCUUUUGUACGGAACGAAAAGCCCCGGGUUAAUACCCUGGGGUCAUGACGGUACCGUAAGAAUAAGCACCGGCUAACUACGUGCCAGCCGCCGCCUAA